rnacentral:rRNA from 1 species
UACCAGCACCCCGAGUGGUCGGGACGAUUAUUGGGCCUAAAGCAUCCGUAGCCGGUUUUACAAGUCCUCCGUUAAAUCCAGCUGCUUAACAGAUGGGCCGCGGACGGAGUACUAUAAGACUAGGAGGCAGGAGAGGCAAGCGGUACUCAGUGGGUAGGGUAAAUCCGUUGAUCCAUUGAAGACCACCAGUGGCGAAGGCGGCUUGCCAGAAUGCGCUCGACGGUGAGGGAUGAAAGCUGGGGA